rnacentral:rRNA from 1 species
GACGAACGCUGGCGGCGUGCUUAGCACAUGCAAGUCGAACGGAAAGGCCCAGCUUGCUGGGUGCUCGAGUGGCGAACGGGUGAGUAACACGUGGGUGAUCUGCCUCUAACUUCGGGAUAAGCUUGGGAAACUGGGUCUAAUACCGGAUAGGACAAUCGUUUAGUGUCGGUUGUGGAAAGUUUUUUCGGUUAGGGAUGAGCCCGCGGCCUAUCAGCUUGUUGGUGGGGUAAUGGCCUACCAAGGCGUCGACGGGUAGCCGGCCUGAGAGGGUGGACGGCCACAUUGGGACUGAGAUACGGCCCAGACUCCUACGGGAGGCAGCAGUGGGGAAUAUUGCACAAUGGGCGCAAGCCUGAUGCAGCGACGCCGCGUGGGGGAUGACGGCCUUCGGGUUGUAAACCUCUUUCGACAGGGACGAAGCUUUGGUGACGGUACCUGUAUAAGAAGCACCGGCUAACUACGUG